UACGUAGGGGGCAAGCGUUAUCCGGAUUUACUGGGUGUAAAGGGAGCGUAGACGGUAAUGCAAGUCUGGAGUGAAAACCCGGGGCUCAACCCCGGGACUGCUUUGGAAACUGUAUAACUGGAGUGCCGGAGAGGUAAGCGGAAUUCCUAGUGUAGCGGUGAAAUGCGUAGAUAUUAGGAGGAACACCAGUGGCGAAGGCGACUUUCUGGACAGUAACUGACGUUGAGGCACGAAAGUGUGGGGAGCAAACAGG
rnacentral:rRNA from 1 species